GCAUAUCAAUAAGCGGAGGAAAAGAAAAUAACAAUGAUUCCCCUAGUAACUGCGAGUGAAGAGGGAUAAGCUCAAAUUUUAAAUCUGUUUUGGUUUUACCAUGCAGAGUUGUAAUUUGAAGAAACGUUUUCUGUGUCUUGAAUUAAUUAAAAUCCUCUGGAAUGGGGUAUCAGUGAGGGUGACAGUCCCGUUCAUGGUUAAUUCUAAGACGCUUUAUGAUACGUUUUCGAAGAGUCGAGUUGUUUGGGAUUGCAGCUCAAAAUGGGAGGUAAAUUUCUCCUAAGGCUAAAUAUUGGCGAGAGACCGAUAGCGAACAAGUACCGUGAGGGAAAGAUGAAAAGAACUUUGAAAAGAGAGUUAAACAGUACGUGAAAUUGUUGAAAGGGAAACGAUUGAAGUCAGUCGUACCAGCGGGAAAUCAACCUUUCGGGUGGGAUCUUGGAGCUUUUAAAGAGUUUCAAAGCCUUUGGGGUUUCAAGAUUUUUGCUCUUUUGGUGUACUUUCUCGUAGGUAGGUCAACAUCGAUUUUGAACAUCAUAAAAAGAUCGGAGGAAUGUAGCUUCGAUCUCGUAUUGAAGUGUUAUAGCCUUUGGUAAAUGUGAUGUUUAAGAUCGAGGAUUGCAACGAAUAUCCUUUUGGGCUAUUCGUCUGAUCUCUGAUACGUGGCCUUGGUAUCGAAAGCGUGCUUACGGUAUUAAGGUAUUACGGUCAAAAGGUUAGAACGGAUUACAUUCGUUAAGGAUGUUGACGUA
rnacentral:rRNA from 1 species